rnacentral:rRNA from 1 species
UUUUCGAGCAGCUGCCAAACCCCCAGAGCGCACCCGUCCCUGUAGCAAAAGGGUGGGAAGACUUGAAAAUAGAGGCAAAAAGCCAACCGAGCUUGGUGAUAGCUGGCUACUCAACAAAAAGAAUUUAAGUUCAACUUUAGGCACUUACGAGCCAAUCACUUAAUAAACUCACUUUCUAUAAACCUAAAGAAAAUCAAUGGGGGUACAGCCCCAUUGAACCGGGAUACAGCCCGAAUUGAGAGGAACUUUUCCCCCCCUUUUUCCUGUAGGCUUCAAAGCAGCCACCAAACAAUCGCGUUAUAGCAUGUUUAUCAAACAAUCCUAACAACUUAAUAACCCUCCUAAUCUAUAAUGAGUUAUUCUAUACUACUAUAGAAAUACCAAUGCUAAAAUUAGUAAUAAGAAACACUUAUUUCUCUCUGCACCCCCUUAAAUCAGACUAGAAAAACUACUGACAAUUAACAAACCAACUAUAACACACACUUAUCAAGCCAGGAUGUUACUAAAAACUUGUUACCCCUACACAGGCGUGCAAAAAAGAAAGACAAAAACCCAUAAAAGGAACUCGGCAAGACUUCUUUACCCCAACUGUUUACCAAAAACAUAGCCUUUAGCCCCCCAAGUAUUAAAGGUCUCGCCUGCCCAGUGACUCUUUAAACGGCCGCGGUAUCCUAACCGUGCAAAGGUAGCAUAAUCACUUGUCCCUUAAAUAGGGACUGGAAUGAAUGGCUAAAUGAGGGUUAAACUGUCUCUUGUGGGUUGUCAAUGAAAUUGAUUUUCCAGUACAAAAGCUGGAAUAGACACAUAAGACGAGAAGACCCUGUGGAGCUUCAAAACCAAGUUCAUCAAACUAAUGCUCCUUAGGUUUUUAGUUGGGGCGACUUUGGAGUAUAAAAAACCCUCCAAAAAUGUUAAACCUAUAAUAUUAAGAACAACAAAUCAAAACCACAAAAGACCCAGCAACAACCUCAGUGUUGUCUGAUCAAUGAACCAAGUUACCCCAGGGAUAACAGCGCCAUCCCCUUCUAGAGUCCUUAUCGACAAGGGGGUUUACGACCUCGAUGUUGGAUCAGGACACCCCAAUGGUGCAGCCGCCAUUAAAGGUUCGUUUGUUCAACGAUUAAAGUCCUA